GUUCAAAAGACGUUCAGUGUCGUUGAAUGAAACACAGAGAUCUGAUGAUCCCUCAGAUGUGAAUGAAGAUGGAGAAACACGCUGAUGCAGGAGCAACUCAGACACUAACACACACACACAUACAAACACGCUUGAUACAUCAAUCUACUUGCUUAUGUUACAAAGUCAUCACUGAUUCAGAAUAAAGCUUGACAUUCAAACUGUUA